GACAGAGGGUGCAAACGUUAUUCGGAAUUACUGGGCGUAAAGCGUGCGCAGGCGGUUGUGUAAGACAGAUGUGAAAUCCCCGGGCUCAACCUGGGAACUGCAUUUGUGACUGCACAGCUGGAGUGCGGCAGAGGGGGAUGGAAUUCCGCGUGUAGCAGUGAAAUGCGUAGAUAUGCGGAGGAACACCGAUGGCGAAGGCAAUCCCCUGGGCCUGCACUGACGCUCAUGCACGAAAGCGUGGGGAGCAAACAGG
rnacentral:rRNA from 1 species